ACCCCAAACCCAGCAUGCCCAUCAGAAUCUAGGGAGCCAGCAGGACAAGGAGGAUGAAAUGGACAGGGUGAUGAAAAUCCUGCUUUGAUAGAAGAACAGUAAAAGGCCCAGUCAAGUUUGGGUGAAAUGUGAGUUGCAAUGGAAGUCCCAGAGUUAAGCAGUGAGAUAGUAAAGAAAAGCAGAGGCAGAGGAACUCUUCUGUGCUGCCUGCUACAAAGGAUCCCAGUAAACAGGCCACGUCAUAGAUACCCAUCUCUUCAGCCACUGGGUAUUUUCCAAGAACACGGUUGAGCAUAAGAUUCACUCGGGGUUAUCCACUCUAUCAAAGCCUUUUCUUUGAGAAGAUGUAUCUUUCCAAGCACCUUAUUGUUGGAACUCUAUAAGCAUAUGACCAGGCAGAAAAUGUUACUUUCAUACAAUUGCAGUCCAUUACCAUGAACAGACAUGGAGUUAAUAAAGAUGGUUUCUUUUGUGGACCAUAUA